GUAGGGGCCAAGCGUUAUCCGGAUUUAUUGGGCGUAAAGAGCUCGUAGGCGGCUUGGCAAGUCGGUCGUGAAAGUCCGAGGCUCAACCUCGGAAUGCCGGUCGAAACUGCCAUGGCUAGGGUUCGGUAGAGGAGAGUGGAAUUCUCGGUGUAGCGGUGAAAUGCGCAGAUAUCGAGAGGAACACCAGUAGCGAAGGCGGCUCUCUGGGCCGAUACCGACGCUGAGGAGCGAAAGCGUGGGGAGCAAACAGGAUUAGAUACCCUGGUAGUCCACGCCGUAAACGGUGAUCACUAGGUGUGGCGGAUCAUUGACGUCUGCUGUGCCGGCGCUAACGCAUUUAGUGAUCCGCCUGGGGAGUACGGCCGCAAGGCUA
rnacentral:rRNA from 1 species